AAUCAACGCUGGCGGCGUGCCUAACACAUGCAAGUCGAACGCGAAAGCCCCUUCGGGGGUAAGUAGAGUGGCGUCCGGGUGAGUAACACGUGGGUAAUCUACCUUCGGGUGGGGAAUAACUCAGGGAAACUUGAGCUAAUACCGCAUAAUGCAGCGGCACCUAAUGGUUAUUAGUUGUUAAAGCGGGGGAUCGCAAGACCUCGCGCCUGAAGAGGAGCCUGCGGCAGAUUGGCUAGUUGGGAGGUAAUGGCUCACCAAGGCUUCGAUCUGUAGCUGGUCUGAGAGGACGGCCAGCCACACUGGCACUGACACACGGGCCAGACUCCUACGGGAGGCAGCAGUGGGGAAUUUUGGGCAAUGGGCGAAAGCCUGACCCAGCAACGCCGCGU
rnacentral:rRNA from 1 species